rnacentral:rRNA from 1 species
GAUGAACGCUGGCGGCGUGCUUAACACAUGCAAGUCGAACGAGAAAUGUAGACGGAAACCUUCGGGCGGAAGCCUUCAUUUCGAGUGGCGGACGGGUGAGUAACGCGUGGGUAACCUGCCUCAUACAGGGGGAUAACAGUUGGAAACGACUGUUAAUACCGCAUAAGACCACAGCAUCGCAUGAUGCGGGGGUAAAAACUCCGGUGGUAUGAGAUGGACCCGCGUUCGAUUAGCCAGUUGGCGGGGUAACGGCCCACCAAAGCGACGAUCGAUAGCCGAUCUGAGAGGAUGACCGGCCACAUUGGGACUGAGACACGGCCCAAACUCCUACGGGAGGCAGCAGUGGGGAAUAUUGCACAAUGGGGGAAACCCUGAUGCAGCGACGCCGCGUGAGGGAAGAAGUACUUCGGUAUGGAAAGCUCUAUCAGCAGGGAAGAAAAUGACGGUACCUGAGUAAGAAGCCCCGGCUAACUACGUGC